AUUGAACGCUGGCGGCAUGCCUUACACAUGCAAGUCGAACGGCAGCACGGGAGCAAUCCUGGUGGCGAGUGGCGAACGGGUGAGUAAUAUAUCGGAACGUGCCCGGUCGUGGGGGAUAACGUAGCGAAAGCUACGCUAAUACCGCAUACGAUCUACGGAUGAAAGCGGGGGAUCGCAAGACCUCGCGCGAUUGGAGCGGCCGAUAUCAGAUUAGGUAGUUGGUGAGGUAAAGGCUCACCAAGCCGACGAUCUGUAGCUGGUCUGAGAGGACGACCAGCCACACUGGGACUGAGACACGGCCCAGACUCCUACGGAGGCAGCAGUGGGAAUUUUGGACAAUGGGCGCAAGCCUGAUCCAGCAAUGCCGCGUGCAGGAUGAAGGCCUUCGGGUUGUAACU
rnacentral:rRNA from 1 species